ACAAAUUUAGCUCCUGAAGACAGUUCGGGACACCCCGCACAUAAUCAGCGUCUUCGAAUCACUCGCCGGUCGCCGUGAUUUUGCUGCGAAGCAAGGCUUGGGUAGAUCGUAAAAGUUUCUUGCAGAGUUUCGCAGGAUUCAUGGUGAGGACCUAAUCACACUGUUCAACCAAGGACUACAAAGACUGGCAGAACCCCUUUCUAGACUUCACAAAGAUAGAUGCAAAUGAGCCAAGAAAGAUGUGACAGUUUACUUCCCGGAAGCUAAGAAGAAAUUGCCAUACAGAUUCUACCAACCUUUUUCAAGGAAGACCUGGUGAUGUAUUCAUCUCAAGUGACAAGGUUGAUACGAAGCCCAUGUACAUAUGUGUAUCCUGCAAUCAAGAGGAAUCAUAUGAGCUUGUUCUGGAGGAGCAAAGAGUCUGUCAAGUCCAGGAUAAAGUGCAUGCAUUGGCUUGUUAAGUAGCUGGUUUUUAUUUUUCAUUCAGCCUAUGGCUGUGAGCCAUCAGUCAUGAAAAUUUGUGAGUUUUGCCAACUUGGAAUUCUUCAGGUGAAAGAUGCAUGUCCUGUUGAUAAAUCUGUUAUCAACCUUCUGAACAUGUUGAAGAAGAAAGUGCCCUCCAGACAAGGGAAGUAACU